GGGCAGCCCGGGGAGACCCUCCGCAGCUCCCGGCGCGCCCGCGGCCACAGGUGGAAGUAGAGAUCCGCGGCCAGCAGCGCCCCGAGCAGCAGCAGCACGGCCGGGCGGUCCCGCCGCGGUCCCGGCAUGUUAUUUUUAAGAAGAUCUUCCAGAUGAAGUUGAACCCCAGGAUUCAGCAAACCUGGAUGAAUCCCAGGAGCAAGCCCUGCUCCAUGGCUACCAGCCCAUCGAUGGACACCCGCAGACUCACUUCAAACUCAAAGAACAGCUUUUGACAAACACUCCACCAAAAACUGGCUGAUACUUGCUUGGCUCCUAAUCCUCCCUGAGCUGUUUCCCCAUUGCUAAUCUCUCCCAGGAACCAUUAAUAAAUCUUCCCUGGUUUGCAACGCUAAUUCUGGACAAAGGCACCAGGAACCACCAGUGCCUGGGCCCGUGCCCUUGUUGUUUGCAUUCUCUGCAGUGAGAUUGUUUGGUUUUUAAUGAGGCUAAUUAAAAAGAAACAAAAAAAUAAUAAAUCAAUCCCAUUAAUCUGUGAUAAAUUGAAGUGCUACAAUCCUUCCCAAAGCAGUUGGGACUGCCAGCUCCCAACUGGCUGCAGAGCAAAAUCACUGUUAUUACUAUUUAGAACAACUCAGUGGUGCUCCAGAAUGCCACAGUGAUGCUUCCACAAUGCCACAGUGAUGCUUCCCUGCUCACCCAUGGCUUGGAGUGCCUUGGAGCAGGGAAUCCCACUGGAGCCUGUCCCACACACAUCUCCUGUUCUGCUUUCUUGGUUCGUGGCUCUGCCCAGCCGGGGUCCCUGGCCUGCAGGUGAGCAUCACUUCCCACCCCAGGGCUCAGCAGAACUCAUCCGAGCCUGCUGGAAGGGGUGGAUGUGUUCCUAAAAUGAACCUGGAAAUACUAUUUUGAUAGGGCACUGACAGCUUCAGCGGAACCAAAUUACCAUUUGGAAUUACCAUGAGAUAAUUUGCCUCAUUUACUAUUUAAAGAUGGGAGAAAAAAAAGCUCCUUCUUCCAGACAGCUGCGGUGGAGAAAUGUUCAGGCAUAGAAGACAUCCAAAACAUAUCAUUAAAGCUUUAAAUAAAUGUAUGAUGACA